rfam:Felis catus isolate Cinnamon breed Abyssinian chromosome A1, whole genome shotgun sequence.
GCCUGGGUGGCUCAGUCGGUUAAGCAUCCGACUUCGGCUCGGGUCACGGUCUCACAGUUUGUGAGUUCGAGCCCCACGUCGGGCU